GCCGGGCGUGGUGGCUCACGCCUGUAAUCCCAGCACUUUGGGAGGCUGAGGCGGGUGGAUCACCUGAGGUCAGGAGUUUGAGACCAGCCUGGCCAACAUGGUGAAACCCCGUCUCUA
rnacentral:SRP_RNA from 1 species